rnacentral:rRNA from 1 species
GAUGAACGCUGGCGGCGUGCCUAAUACAUGCAAGUCGAGCGAACGGACGAGAAGCUUGCUUCUCUGAUGUUAGCGGCGGACGGGUGAGUAACACGUGGAUAACCUACCUAUAAGACUGGGAUAACUUCGGGAAACCGGAGCUACUACCGGAUAAUAUUUUGAACCGCAUGGUUCAAAAGUGAAAGACGGUCUUGCUGUCACUUAUAGAUGGAUCCGCGCUGCAUUAGCUAGUUGGUAAGGUAACGGCUUACCAAGGCGACGAUGCAUAGCCGACCUGAGAGGGUGAUCGGCCACACUGGAACUGAGACACGGUCCAGACUCCUACGGGAGGCAGCAGUAGGGAAUCUUCCGCAAUGGGCGAAAGCCUGACGGAGCAACGCCGCGUGAGUGAUGAAGGUCUUCGGAUCGUAAAACUCUGUUAUUAGGGAAGAACAUAUGUGUAAGUAACUGUGCACAUCUUGACGGUACCUAAUCAGAAAGCCACGGCUAACUACGUG